rnacentral:rRNA from 1 species
UACGUAGGGUCCAAGCGUUAUCCGGAAUCACUGGGCGUAAAGCGUGCGUAGGUGGCGUGUUAAGUGUGAUGUUAAAUCGUGUGGCUCAACCAUAUCGAUGCAUCACAUACUGGCAUGCUAGAGGGAAGCAGAGGCAAGUGGAAUUGGUAGUGUAGCAGUGAAAUGCGUAGAUAUUACCAGGAACACCAAUGGCGAAGGCAGCUUGCUGGGCUUCUUCUGACGCUGAGACGCGAAAGCCAGGGGAGCGAACGGG